rnacentral:lncRNA from 1 species
AGAGCAAGCCCCGAGGGCAGCAGCUGUGGGCAGGCUGGAGGAAAUGGUCCCUGUUUAGGUGCUGCACUGGUCUCUGCAUGAUCAAUCCCAGCGCCCAGAACACCGAUAUCAAGGCCUUUGCCUGGCUCUUCUCCAGAUGGUUUUCUAUUGCAGGAGUUUUGCUGGCAGAGAGCUUAUGAAGAAACAGGCUUACAGAAGGCACGGCCAGGCUGCAGGGAUGACUGGGACCUGAAAACAGCCAGCAUCAUCAUUCUUGAAAGUUUAGAAACGAGGCAUGUAUACGUAUUUAACAGUUCUCAGAAUGUCAAGGAUCCCUCCUCAGAGCAAGAGCUCGAAUUUACAAAAGAAGCACUACCUCCUUUAUCACAUAGUAAAAUAAAGGACCGUGUCUGCUCCAGGACAUGGCUGGUUACAAUUUUGUUUUAAAGAAAUCACCAGAGAAACCUGAGAUUCCAACCCAGCCUUUUGUUUGCCUGGGAUUAUAGCCCAGUUCUUACAAGCAGAGAAGCCUAGGACACUAACCCAGCUUCAAGAGUAUACUCAGAAUCUCAAGAAUCACAAUCUGUGCUGCCCAUUCUUCAACAGACUGUCAUCUGGAGGCCUGGAUUGGAUCAGGAGUCGGGCUCACCAAUGGAGCCCCAAUCAGUCAGUCAGGAGUGAAGAUGAAAGCUUCAAAGGCAUUGAUGACUCACUUCUCACUUGAGUCCAGACCCAUCUGGAUUGCCUGCAAAAAGGUCUCGGCAGUGACCUGAAAACAUAUGUAAAUUACCCAACCAAUUCUAACCAGGACCUGCUGUCUGGCAAUUCAUCCCCAUGUUCUAGACUUGUCCAACAAGCACCCAAGCAACUUUGAGUUCCAUCCUGCAACUCUCAGUCAGGCUCAAGAAAAGCCCCAAUUUUAUCUGGGCAUGGUGACACAUGACUGUAAUCCCAGCUACUCGGGAGGCUGAGGCAGUUGAAUCGCUUGAACCCAGGAAGCGAAGGCUGCAGUGAGCCGAGAUCAUGCCACUGCACUCCAGCCUGGGCAACACAGCGAGACUGUCUCAAAAUAAAAUUAAAAUUAAAUUUUUUAAAAAGGCCCCAA